UGGGGAAUCUUGCGCAAUGGGCGAAAGCCUGACGCAGCCAUGCCGCGUGAGUGAUGAAGGCCUUAGGGUUGUAAAACUCUUUCACCGGGGACGAUAAUGACGGUACCCGGAGAAGAAGCCCCGGCUAACUUCGUGCCAGCAGCCGCGGUAAUACGAAGGGGGCUAGCGUUGCUCGGAAUUACUGGGCGUAAAGGGCGCGUAGGCGGAUCAGCAAGUUGGGGGUGAAAGCCCGGGGCUCACCUCGGAAUUGCCUUCAAAACUGCUGAUCUAGAGUACGGGAGAGGUGUGUGGAACUCCGAGUGUAGAGGUGAAAUUCGUAGAUAUUCGGAAGAACACCAGUGGCGAAGGCGACACACUGGCCCGUUACUGACGCUGAGGCGC
rnacentral:rRNA from 1 species